AGGCUGACGCUUAGCAUCUCUUUUUGAAGAUGAGGAAACGAAGGCUCAGAGAGGUGAGCCGCUUUCCUGGGUUGCAGGUGGAAUACGGAGAGCCAGAACUCACAGGGAGGUCUGCGGGGCCCGGGGGUGCAGAGCGGCUGCUGCGCGCUCUGACUUCUCCAAGGGGAGAGUCAUCGUCUACCCCAUCCUCUGCAGUGUUCCGAGCCAUGCCGCCCGCUUCCCGAGAGUGGAGAGGUUUCCGGCAGGUACCCAAGCUGGUCAUGUCACAGCCCUGCUUGGAACCGUGGCUGUCAUCCCCAGGGUCAAGGGCUGCCCAGCUGGCAGAAGCAUCGGGAGGUCUGAAUAAUGAAUACAUGAAUAAAUUAUUAUUCACCAUGGUGAGAGACGAGAACAGCACCAGAUUUUGAGUUGAGCUUGGAAGGCUAAAGAAACCAAACCGGAAAUGCUCUGGCUUCUAGAGGCUAGGAGAAGAGAAAGAACCAAGGAGGCUAAUUCAUCCUUCCCAGCAAGGGCAGGUGUAAGCCUAUGUGUCCUCAGAAGAGCCAGACAGUGGACCUCCUGCUCCUCCUGUGGACAUCCUCCUAAGACAAAGAUGUCUUAGUGGACAUCUUUGUCAAGACACACAAUGAAGAUGAGCAUAGCUGGCUGCCUUGACGCCAUCGGCCUACAGUCAGUCUGUCUGUGGCAAUCAGCGACCCUCUCUGACUCCUGCUUCUGUUUGUUCUAGUAACUCAAGACCACAAUGGUCACCUCCAUCCGUUCUUCCUGGCCAGUGAAUUGGUUUCCAAGAUUUGGAGACUGCUUCAAAUGACCGGCAUGCUUCCUCUAUGCUGCCUGUCCAUCAUCCACAUGGCAAACAUUCACUGAACACCUAGUGUCUCUGAAACACCGUUGGGUGGCAGUGGCAUACUGAAGUCUCCCGGGGCCUCGAGGACUCGAAGCUAAUCCCUCCAGUUCCCUUCGUGUAAAGAGGAGACAUUGAGAAUGCAGCCCACACCUUCAAGGGACUUACAGCCUCAAGGGAUUAACCACCUGGCAAUGUGAUUGAGUGGGUCCCUUCCCUUCUCUGGGCCUUAGGCUCCUGCUGGGUGGUAAGAGGGAGGUAUCAGGCUCUCUGACCUUGAGUCCUUACCCGGACUCACCUAAUUCCAAAGUAGGUUCUACGCAUAAGGUCACUGGGUUAUGCGCAGGUAGGACAGGUGCCAGGAAACCUACCAAUUGGAUAAUUAGGCUUGCCCCGACCCCUCGUCCCUCGAGGGAGCAUAUGGGCUGGUCCUCAGCUCCCCUCCCCGCAGCAGCGGGCGGAAGUGUCGGGCGCUGCGGGGGUCCCCUGGUGGAAUGUGGCUAUGGUGGGCGCUGGGUCCAAGGGCUCGGCUGACAGAUCUAAGGCUGCCGCCAGCCACCAGCUUUCCAUAGGGCGGCCUGCCGGCCUCCCUCCUGUGGAAUGACGAGCCCUGCUCACCACCCCCCCUACCUGGCGUUUAAUCUUUAAUGCAGCCCCAGCUGCCCUGGGGCAGGACCCAUCAACCCACCCGCUCUGAUAAAAGCGAUAAUUAGCUCUUUUUCAACUUUUCACUUCUCCCCCCCUCCACUCUGAUGUGUGAGCAUUGGGAGAAUUCCAGCUAAUGGGUCUGCCCUCAGCCAAUUCCCCAGCCCAUGCAGGCCGGAAUGCACGGGGUCAUUAGCCGGGCCUCCCGGGCAGGGGCCUGUGCUUGGGACGUGCUUGUCUGCCUGCUCUGGGGUGCCCCAGCCACCCAGGAGAGGGCCCGGCCUCGGCAGAGUGGACCUGCCCAGACCUGCUGGAUCCCACUGUCCUCAGUGGUGGCCCCUUCCUGCACCUUCACAGAGACCCCUGAGAGGUGGCCUGAGGCUCCCACGGGGCCAGACUGAGAGGACAGGAGGCCACCCGUCCCCAGGCAUCGCCCCCUGCUUCCAGGGCAGGGAGCCCAGCUUGGGUUCAGCCACCGGUCAGUGUGGAGGCUGCUGGCUGGGAUCCCCCCAGUCCCGCCCCAUCAGUGACUUGUAAUAACUAACUUGUGUGCUGUGCCUGUCCCGUUCAAAGUGCUUCCAGAUAACUUAGCUCAGAGGUGGCUGCGGCCCAGGGCUUAACGGUGCAGGCUCGGGGCUACUCCUCGGAACCGGGGAUGGAGGCGGCAGGGGAGGAUGGGUGCAAUUCUGGCUUAGCUCCUUUUCUCUUCCUCUCUGACAGGCUCGGGCCAAUGCUCAUAAACUCGUUGGCCACCUAGAACCAUGGGGCUCCCGUCAUUAACACCGCAGGUUGAGAGGCACCCAAUUAGCCAGAGCUACGGGAGUCUAGAGCUACUGCCUUCAAGGGUCAUAAACAGGGUCCGUGAUGCCUAGGAUCAGAGGUUACCAUUUAGCCAAUGCCUCCUUCAUCUAAAAGCCCAGGGCUACCUUUACCUAGAAACCCAGGGCCAUCCACCCUGGUGCUGUUGACCCCUGCAACCAUCUAGACCCACAGGACAUAGGCACUUAGUACCCAGAAUAGCCCACACAGGACUGCUAUCAACCAAACCUCAGGGUCAUUGCGAGCCAGCAAGUUGAACCACAAAGUGAUCAAUGUCUUGGACUUGUAGCGGAUUGAGAAACUUUGUGGUAAGGUCACACUGACACUUAGCACAGGGCUUCUCUUGGAUAGGCUCUGGGUAGGUUUUCCUUUACUGACUCCGCAGCAAUAAGAUAUCACAGAGUCUCUCGGGUGGCUUCUCCCACCGCAUGAACUUCUUCCACUCACUCAGCUGGGUCCUGAAUUCUCACCGCGAACUUUUCAGAGGAAAACAGCUAGUGUGUAUCAUGGGAGUGAGUUCUGCACACCUAGAAUCCAUCCCGGAGUGGGGUCUGUUCAAUAAGAGGGGGUGUGCAUGCCCUUUGAACAGAGUCUCCUCAUUUUCUAGAAAGUUAUUUUGAGGAGUAGGAUCCAAGGACUUCCUGGAAGAGGCAGCAUUAGUUCCUCAGAGACAGAGCAGACCAUUAUCAGGGACAGGGACUCCCUAAAUCACAGGCUCUCCAUCCCACCCACCCCAGAGCUAACAUUUCUGCAUGUUUUUUAGCCUUGGACAUGACUGGGACCUUGCUGAGAUACCCGACAGGAGACGUGGAAAUGGAUUCUUCUCUAUUUCCCCACCUUCUCCUAGCCAACAAAUACACAGCUUCAGAAUAUCAAAAAUGUCCAUGAAUUUCCCAGCUUUUAACAGUGGAAAUCUUAGUAAUUUCAAUUUUUAGGAAAGGUAUACAUUUCCUUUUUUAAAAUUUUAUUUAUUUGAGAGAGAGUGGCAGUAGUGGGGCGAGGGGCAGAGGCAAAGAGAAGCAGACUCCCUACUGAGUGGGGAGCCCCACAUGGGGCUCGAUCCCCAAACCCUGAGAUCAUGACUUGAGCUGAAGGCAGCUGCUUAACCGACUGAGCCACCCAGGCACCCCCCAAAAGGUAUACAUUUUCAAUAAUUCCAUGGGACCCUUGGCCUGCUACCCCAAAGGUUUCCACUGCCGAGUUCAAGAGUCCCCCAGGAAGUAAGUUACGUGUCUGCUCUGCUCUAUUCCACCUGUGCUCAUGGCUGUUGUCAUGAGACCGCACCUCCCCCCCAGUCUCUGGGCCUUAAGGCCUCCAACUGCCCCGCUGUGUGUGACAAGGGGGCACAGGCUGUAGGGGUCACAGAGCUGUGGGGGUGAGGCAGGGCUUAUGGCAAGGAGGAAAGGACGGAGGGAGGUGAAGAGGAGAGACUAUCAAAUAGAGAUAAGGGUCCUGUUGGGGGUUCUGGCCUCGUGGAACCUCAGAAUUCAGGGAGGAUCCUUGCUUAGGGAAGCCAGCCUCAACAGAGAGUCAGAUGACCGUCUAUUUCAACAGUAAUAAUGACAGCAGCUGGAAUCCUUCAUGCCUUACAAGCCUCCUGCCUUACUGGUAGGAACAUAACACAGUCAGGCACUUUGGAACCCACUUUGGCAAUCCUUCCGAAUGUUAACCUGGAGUUACAGUAGGGCUCGGAAAUAACACACCUGGGGAUUUACCCAAGGGAGUGGAAACAUGAGUCUGGACAAAAGCUGGUGCAGGAACGUUCGCAGCAGCAUUAUCCGCAGUAGUGAGGAGGGGGAGACAAGCCACAAUCCUCCCACCGGUGAACGGACAAACCACGUGGUCUACCCACCCCACGGAAUAGCACUUGGCCGUCAAAAGGAAUGACGAUCGGAGGCAGAGCGCUGCGUGCGCGAGCCUUGACAAUAUUCGGCGGAGUGAAGGAAGCUGGUCACAAACCACCACACAUCGCACGACCCUGUUUACAGGAAAUGUCCAGAAGUGAAAAAUUCAUAGAGACAAAAAAUAGAGCAGUGGUUGCCUAGGUCUGGGCCGGGUUGUGGGUGGGGAGGGAGGAUCGGGAGUGGUCGCCAACAGGCCUGGGUUUUGGGGGGCCGGGGGUGAACAAUUCUCUGAAAGUAGGGUCAUGGUGAUGGUUGCACAAUUCUGUGAAUGUACGACAAAGUGCUGACUUGUACGCUUGAAAAAGGGGGAAACUUAUGGUCUGUGAAUUCUCCCAAUACACCUGUUAUUCAGAAAAAUGCUAGGUAACUGUCAGGUGAGUUGAUUGGUACUGCAUUUAAUUCUUAAAGAGACCCGAGGGAGAGCUAGGGAAGUGGCCCUAGUACAGCAGCGUGCAGCACAGAACUUGCAGUCCUACUGUGACCUUAAACAGGUCCGUCAGUCUUUAUGGGACUCAGAAUCCUCAUCUGUAAAAUGGGUACCUUGAUCUGAAUGCUAUGCACACAGCACGGCCUGGAACGCAAGGGCAUUGUCACCAUUAGAGACCGUACGCGACCUCCUCACAUUCUUUUCUACUUCUCAAGCCCCCUAAAGUGUGAUCACCCUUAGAGGACAAGGAUAAUGAAGAAGAAGAAGGAGAAGCAUUUAUGAGGGUCUUCCAUCUGCCACUCUCUGUCAAUUCCCUCCUGCGUCAUCAGCACCGCAGGACACAGCAGAGUGGGAAGACCACAGUUGUACCUAAUCUCCAUCAGGCAUUUUCAUCUCACAACAUUUUUUUUAAGCGAGCUCUAUGCCCCACAUGGGGCUUGAACUCACAACCUCGAGAUCAAGAGUCACACGUUCCACCGACUGAACCAGCCAGGCGCCCCGACGUCAGGCACUUUUGCCACGGGCUAAUAAUGGUUUGUUAGUUUUUCCAUUUCAUCCCAGAAAAGUGGUCUGGUCUGGAGAUACCAUGUAUUCAUUCAUGACUGACCACCAUCUACAGGCCAAGUUCUGUGCUCUAGGACGGAGUGGGGACCGGGCCAGUCCAGACCAGACCCUGCAUUGGCCCGGUCCUUAUGCAGCUUCUGUGCU